UAAUAAGUGUUUUAUUGGCACUUUUUAAAUCCAUAUCCAACCUUGUGUGCAGUGUCAGUCGAUCUUCUUCAUGGAGAUCGACCAAACAUCAACCUUUAUCUUUUAACUCUUUGUCUGAAAAAUAUUAUGAAUAAACAAUUCAAAUACC
rnacentral:misc_RNA from 1 species